CGGGGCGUAGCUCAGCCUGGUAGAGUGCACGGUUCGGGACCGUGAGGCCGGAGGUUCAAAUCCUCUCGCCCCGACCA
rnacentral:tRNA from 1 species